UCACCAUCGAGCCCUGCUCGGCGAUGGGCCUCGUCCUCGCGGACGGGCCCGAAACCUGUGGGCGCCGUCGUCCGGCCCUGAGCGUAGCAAGAGAAAUCCCUCGCUCGGUGGAUCGUCUGGCGGUCGCCCCGACCAUUUUUUAAAA
rnacentral:misc_RNA from 1 species